UUAAUUUGACUCAACGCGGGGAAUCUUACCGGGUCCGGACACACUGAGGAUUGACAGACAGUUGUCUUUCCCUCCCUUCGGGGUGGGAUUACAAAAGAUAACAGAUCUUUCAUGAUCAUGUGAUGGGUGGUGCAUGGCCGUUCUUAGUUCGUGGAGUGAUCUGUCUGCUUAAUUGCGUUUCAAAUUUUAUAUUUGUUAACAUGCGAGUCUUCAAUGACGGCCGCUCCACCUUAUAGACAUUAUAUGAUAUGCACAUUUGUGUAUUUGAUUAUAACUUGUCUGGAGUCUGGCUCGAUUUUUUUGACUCAAUUGAACGCAACGGACGUGAUUGCAAGUCCUUGUUGAACAAAUUAUAUAUAUACUACUUCAUCAUUAGUAUAUAUAGUUCGCUUCUCAUGUCGUAGCAGUCAAACGGGCGGGCGUCUUAAUUGGCGCGGUCACGAGGCUUAAUAUGCUGCGGCAGGGAAAACUUGGGCGACCGCUGUAAUACUUCUCUCUUAAACCAGAGGAAGAUUGCGGCAAUAACAGGUC
rnacentral:rRNA from 1 species